UGGGAUUUAGCUCAGUGGCAUAAGCGCCUGCCUUGCAAGCAGGCAGUCGUGAGUUCAAAGUUCAAUCCCUG
rnacentral:tRNA from 1 species